GGCAUCCUUCCUCCCCUUGUGGUGUGGUGUGUGGGCUCCUUCCAAGGCCUUAAGAUCAAAUCUCAAGGCUCUUCUUCUUUUCUCUUGAAGAGUUCUUCAUUCCUCUCUCCUACGUUGCUUGGCAUGCAUGCGAAGUAGAAGAUCUGUACAUCUAGAUCUCGCGAAGCAAAUCGAUUGAAGAACCUCUUUUACCUUGAUCAA
rnacentral:lncRNA from 1 species